UAGGGAAUCUUCCGCAAUGGGCGAAAGCCUGACGGAGCAACGCCGCGUGAGUGAAGAAGGAUUUCGGUUCGUAAAGCUCUGUUGUUAGGGAAGAAUGAUUAUGUAGUAACUAUACAUAGUAGAGACGGUACCUAACCAGAAAGCCACGGCUAACUACGUGCCAGCAGCCGCGGUAAUACGUAGGUGGCAAGCGUUGUCCGGAAUUAUUGGGCGUAAAGCGCGCGCAGGUGGUUUAAUAAGUCUGAUGUGAAAGCCCACGGCUCAACCGUGGAGGGUCAUUGGAAACUGUUAAACUUGAGUGCAGGAGAGAAAAGUGGAAUUCCUAGUGUAGCGGUGAAAUGCGUAGAGAUUAGGAGGAACACCAGUGGCGAAGGCGGCUUUUUGGCCUGUAACUGACACUGAGGCGCGAAAGCGUGGGGAGCAAACAGGAUUAGAUACCCUGGUAGUCCACGCCGUAAACGAUGAGUGCUAAGUGUUGGUCUCAUAAGAGAUCAGUGCUGCAGCUAACGCAUUAAGCACUCCGCCUGGGGAGUACGACCGCAAGGUUG
rnacentral:rRNA from 1 species